GAUGAACGCUGGCGGCGUGCCUAAUACAUGCAAGUCGAGCGAACGGACGAGAAGCUUGCUUCUCUGAUGUUAGCGGCGGACGGGUGAGUAACACGUGGAUAACCUACCUAUAAUACUGGGAUAACUUCGGGAAACCGUAGCUAAUACCGGAUAAUAUUUUGAACCGCAUGGUUCAAAAGUGAAAGACGGUCUUGCUGUCACUUAUAGAUGGAUCCGCGCUGCAUUAGCUAGUUGGUAAGGUAACGGCUUACCAAGGCAACGAUGCAUAGCCGACCUGAGAGGGUGAUCGGCCACACUGGAACUGAGACACGGUCCAGACUCCUACGGGAGGCAGCAGUAGGGAAUCUUCCGCAAAGGGCGAAAGCCUGACGGAGCAACGCCGCGUGAGUGAUGAAGGUCUUCGGAUCGUAAAACUCUGUUAUUAGGGAAGAACAUAUGUGUAAGUAACUGUGCACAUCUUGACGGUACCUAAUCAGAAAGCCACGGCUAACUACGUG
rnacentral:rRNA from 1 species